rnacentral:tRNA from 1 species
GAAGGAGUGACUGAGUGGUUAAAAGUGGUAGAUUGUAAAUCUGUUGGUUUUUGCCAUCGUAGGUUCGAAUCCUGCCUUCUUCU